rnacentral:lncRNA from 1 species
ACGUAGUCGGCGUGGCCGGGGCAGUCCACGUGGGCGUAGUGGCGGUUCUCGGUCUCGUACUCGACGGUGGCGGUGUUGAUGGUGAUGCCGCGGGCGCGUUCCUCCGGGGCGGCGUCGAUCUCGUCGUACUUCUUCGGGGCGCUGUUGCCGAGGGCGGCAAGGGCCAUGGUGAGGGCGGCGGUCAGGGUGGUCUUGCCGUGGUCCACGUGGCCGAUGGUGCCGAUGUUCACGUGGGGCUUCUUGCGCUCGAACUUGCCGCGGGCGGCGCGGACGGUGAGGGGGCGGCGCGGGGAGGUGGUGGUAGUGGUGGAGGAGGGGGUGCGGCGGAGGACGGUGGUGGGGUGGAGGAAGGAGGAGGAGAGAGGGGAUAGUUUGUGGGUGUUGGUGGAGGAACGGAAGGGUGUGGAGAUAAGGGAAGAAGAUGAAGCAUGGGGGAAUAGUAUAAGUUUGGAGGAAGCAGAUGCAGAAGAAAC